rnacentral:tRNA from 1 species
UCCCAUCGGGUUCGUAGGUUCGAGUCCUACUCCCUCCACCAUUUUAUUUCUGUGUGAUAGUUGCUGAUAGCUAUUUGUCAGCUUAU